AUCCCCAUGGCCAAGUUCCUGCGCAAGAUGACCACCGGCGGUGCCGAGUGGAACGUCCCCAACCUCAGCCACAUCGAGACGAUGGGCACAGUCUCAUCAGCUCUUCAGAAGGUUGGGGUCUAGCUCAGGGUUUUCAAUAAUUUGCUCAAGUUCAUCGAGAGUAAGGGGCUAGUUCGAGGAGAUGAAUUGAAGCCGCUGUGCAAGAAGCUAAUCGAAGCAUCCACAAAGGUCGAUGAAGCGCUACUGGAGGCAACUGAAGCAGCCUUGUUGGUUAGCUGCUCGAGCUGUGCCGGGAUGCGUUGGCCGUUGCCCAGGUCGCUACGCCCGCGGUGGCUGAAGUCCGCGAGGCCGCAGCAUCUGGCGCCCUAGAAGCGAAAGCGCUUCAUAGGACUGUGAAGAAUGCGUACCGCAAGGUUACCCCUGUGGACCUCCCCGACUUAAACCCGUUCGACGUUUGAGCAUCUAUCACGGCACGAGUGCCUUUACCAAUGAUCUAUCCAUUUAUUGCUAUCUUAGUUCGUUUCCUAGUGUCAUCACUGCUGUAAUGGUUUGGAUCUAUCACGGCACGAGUAUCUUUAUUUAUGAUCUAGUAUCUUGUGGUAUGUUGUUAUCUUUCUUAGUUCGUUGUGUAGUGUCACCGUUGUUCUAGUUUGAGUCGAGAGGUCAGGAUUUGAUGCGAGAAAAUGUGUUUUAUGUUAAUCUAUCGAAGGAAUUAAGUGAAAGUUACGUGCCUGUGUUCCCCUGUGUUUUGUUCUGAAAGUUAUAAUCUUGGGUGAUUUGAGUCUGUCCGUCACUGAUUUUCUGGCCGUCCGAUCUUUUUCCUUCCGUUCUGAUUCCCUCCAUUCUCCAGUCUUUUGCUGUUUGAGUGACGCGUGGUGUCUUGUCACAUUCAAUGUUGCUUGUUUUUUUUUGGGUUCAUGCCGUUCUUUAUCCGCACCGCAAGUUCUUCAAGGCUUGAAGUGUCGAGAACAUUUCGUCUUCCCCUUUGGUGUUCGUCAGGUGAGGCGAUUCUAGGGUUUCUUCGACAUCUCUUUCUACUUGUGAUUCUGGCAGAUUAGAUUUGUUUUUGUACGUGUGUUUCACUCCUGUCGAGUUUGAUUUCAAUCUGAUGUUUUUUUCAUGUAUUUUGCGAUCCAGUAGUUGGGCGACUGGAUCAAGUUCAAUUCGUCCCCCUCCAUUUCGAUUUCAUCUUUAUGAUUUCGUUCGAUUCAGUGUUAUUCGCCUCGCUAAAUUUGAUCGAUUAGUUUGAGUGAAUGGUUAAUUUAAUUUCAUCUCCCCACCCAUCUGUUCCCCGUUCCGUCGUCCUUUCCAGCAGUCCAACACGAACACAGCAACACCUAGCAGCAGCAGCAGAGCAUUAGCUCUUUUUGCUUCUGGUUACUGUUGAUCCAAGAUAAUAUCACUUUUCUCUGACGAUUUGUAUGUACAUAUGUCUGAAUAAUCUAUUUGACAAUCUAUAUGUCUAGAUGCAUAUAUGUUUUACAUAAUCUAAAUAAUAUGGUAAUGGUUGCUCGGGCAUGUUGGCGAUUUGCUUCUAUCCUCCUGUGAAUUCCUAAUCUGUUCCAUGAGCUGCCCCGUGUAUCCUUUGAUCAUGCAAACAUGUCUUUGUUUUUACUUAGGCAGAUUUUACUCUGAAUUAGUACCUAGAGUUUUAGUGACAGUUCAUAUCUUCUAAGAUUCAGUGGUUAUUGUACUGUCGUUUGUUUGUGAACGUGGUGUAAUUGUGCAAUAUUUGAAAUAGUUCAGACAAUUUAACUUUUUCUGACAUUUCCAUCUGACUAGAACUUAGGUCAAAGCUAAUGUUAAGGUUAAGUUAAAGGUGGGAUUUCAUUUGUAUGUGACCUUAGAUCUAUCUAUUUUGUUGGUGAAUUGGGUUGAGCAUUCUCUGAUCCUGAUGAUCCUUAGCAGUCACCUCUUGAUAUUCAAGCUUAUAUGUAAGUUGCCUGCACCGCAUUGAUGAUCAGACACACAUUGAUAUUCACUUAGUGGUUGCCUCUAGAAUAACACACAAACACAAACUUCUUCCAUGUUUGUUGCCAGUCUUUGUGAGCCACCUUUAAUAUGAACUUGUUCUUGUCAUAUACAGGAUUCAAUUCCAGGAGAUGGCAAUUUCUAUCUUUAGAUCUCUAGUGUUUUAUGUCACUUCCUCCUUUUUUUUUUACCUUCAAUCCUAUAACUUCUGUAGACAUCUCAUAUCCGAAUGCUAGACUCGUCUGAAUAAGGUGCAAUUUAGUGGAGGGAGAGAUCAUGUUCUGGGAGGUUGCAAAGAAAAGUCAAUGAAGAACAUGCAAGAAGGAUAUUGAUGCAUCACACAUCAAAUUAACAGUGCACAUGUUUUCUUCCAAAUUCAGUGUCAAAGAUCAAGAAUGAUCACCACCCUAUCAUUGUUUUAUUUUGCUGUUGAUAAUUUAAAAUUGAAAGGGUCCAUAGAUAAUAGCAUCUUCCUUGUUUUCCUCCAGCUCGCCAAUAAGGGUACUUGCAAAUUCUCGAUAUUGAUUUUUGUUUACUGUUCAGUGGCAUUGCUUUUCAUUUACACAUAAUGCAGCUCAGAUGUUUUGUUUGCUCUUCAAGACUUUGAGAUGUUUUUGUUCACUAUGGCUGGGCUUGUCCAUGAUUUUCCAGGUGGUUUGUGAUUAAAAUGUUAAGUGGUAGUGGUUAUGGAUCACAAGUGUGCAGCAUAGUCAAUCAGCUUUUGAAUCUCACUUAUUUUUCUGUAACCGUUCCAUAAUUGGUUUGUGAUUAGAGGUGACCUGUGGCAUUGUAGUAUUUUGUUCUAUUCAAAUUUCUUUUUCUUGUAACUGCCGGGUCUUCAUUUGGAUGAUUCCACUAACUUGCCACAUUGUGGCAUUAUUUUUAUUUUCAUUAGUUCUUUCACUUCAGUGACUGCUUGAUGGCAACUACUUAUAUUCAUCAACACCAUGUGCCUGGUUCAUGCAGAUUGGUGAUAGUUAUAAUGUGCCUCUCAUAUAUAUUCAGGAUUGCUAAUCAUUUAUAAUUUUAUAUAAUUCCCAAUUAGCAGUUAAUCAAAAGAUAUGCUCCUGAGGCGGACUAAACUCUAUUGAAAUGUUGAUAUGGUGCAUGCUUCCUUUCUAGUUUAAAUAUUGCAUUGUUCUUAUGUUUGAUCAUUUCUGGCAAUGGGAACUGCAACCGGGCUCCUCGACUCAGCUACAUCUUUCUAAUGAAUAGGAUAUCAUAAUUUGUGUCUGGGUAUGUUGGGCUUAACGUGUAAUCAAUUUUGAAUGGGAUUUAUAUUUUUUUUUCCAAUUAGAUCUAUUAUUUAUCUAAAGCAUGCUGAUAAGAGCCACUCUAGCCACACAUCUCAUCACCCGGUGACGGUUCUUACUCCCUAUUCUCUGUUUUGGCGGUGAUGGCCACACUGGUGUUGGACAGCCACCAGUUUUUGUAGAAACCUUUUUAGCCAAAACAUAUGUUAUCUCUUAUAUGAGUUUUCUCAUAAUUGUAUCACUUCCAAAGAUGAUAGCAGUUUUACUUGUCUAUACAUACUUUUUUCUUUGUUCAAUUUAUUAAUAUAUUUUCAGUUCUCACUUCUCAAUGUAGAUCAUAAGUACAUCAGCAUAGAUGUCUUUGCAAGUACAUUUGUUUUUAUUUGCAAUGAGGAACCUAAUUUACUGAUGUGAGAUUUAUAGUUUUUUUUGGUAUGAUAAGUUUAUUAGCCAUUACUAAUUUCCCCGUGUGUGCACAUUGGAGACCCUUUCCGUCAGACGGUGAGAGCACCUUCGACAGGAAUCACCAUGUGACUGCUCAACUAGAAGUGAUCUCCGUCACUUGUGCAUAUUGCGUAGUCUGAGCACACAAGGAUGUGCCGCGCCAGUUCGUGUCAGGUCCCGUCAGCUGGGUGCAGGGGAGGUGACAAUGUUGCACCAGUUCGUGUCAGGUUCCGUCAGCUGGGUGCAAGGGAGCUGAAAAGGAACAUAUUCUGCUUCGCCUCCUGUCCAGGACUCCAGGUGCUCAUGGCGCUCCUGGGGUAGCUCAGCCGUAGUCAUGAGAGAUGGCAUCCAUCUCUGAUCCAUCAGGUGCGGCAGGUGCAGUGGAACAUAAGAGCAGUAGCGAUGAUGCGUCCGCAGGACAUAGUUGCCAAGUACCCCUAGGUUGCCACCACCAUGAGCUCAACCAGUUCAUGGCGAUGACAGCAUGCACAAGUCUCUUUUAAUCAUCACACCAACAGUUCUGACCAAUUGGUUUGAAAUAUAGUUAGAUUAACAUAUGUAGAUAUCCUAGAAAACAUGGUGCUUUUCUGUGUUGUUUCACGUAUGCUGCUAUUGUCAAUCACUGGUGAUAAAAGGCCUGGUCCUUUUUUUGGCUCCUCACACGUUUGAGCUAAUCUUCAGUUUUCAGUGUAGGUUGUCUUGUGUCUGUAUGCAGCAGCUUGAACUGAACCUGCCCAACGGGGAUUGGGAUCUGUGAUCCAAAUAUACUGUUUCUGCAAUUCUGUAGACUGUCGUACAUGUACAUUGGCAAUGUGAUUUGUAUUUCUGAACUCUGAACGUUGUUGGGUGUACAGUGUACAGCAUCUUGCAAAUAUUGUUGAAUGUUUUUCCAUAUGUUCAAGUUGUUCUAUUGUUUACUUAGAGCAUGUGUGUUUUCAAGAUUAAUCAUCAUAUUGAUAUUCCACUAUAAAACAUUUUGUUUUUUAUGCAUGACCACUUUCAUGUCAUGAUGUGUCAUCAUUUUGACAUCUAUGCAAGUUAUCUCAUGCUCUUCUCUCUAAAUAGUUCAUUUUCUGAUCUUCAAAUUAUCGUAUGCCAUUGCUUCUCUCUUUUACUUUUUAAUAUAAGGCAGAUGAAAAGUUGACAUGUGAAAGAAGUAAGCUUUACUCAAUGAAACAUUCAGUAUUUUAGAUUAUUUUACCUUUAGUCCUCUACUCUUAUGCAGGUAUAAAUGGCAACCCGAGUGGGCUUGUUCAUGGUUAACUGAUUUUCUUAAUAGGUAGCAACAUAACAGCAUCCAAUGCUUGAUUUCCCACCUGUUGACUCAACGAGUGGGCUCUCUUCCUUUGCACUUUGUUAGCUGCAUUGUAAAACCGAGUUGUUGAUGCCACUAUUGAAAUGAAGCAACAGUGAACUGAGUAUAGUAGAUCAAUGAUCCAGAAUCAAUAGCCACUAUGAUUCAUGCUUACCUAUAAUAUCAUGGUCCUUGAGUAGCCCUGUUUUUGCAAGGUGAUGCUCCCUCAAAUAUUUAGUUUUUAUUUAACCCAGUUCUUUUUGUUGUUGUUAUCAUGUUAUUUUUUUCCUUUGAUUGAUUGGGCAUAGAGAAGGGAACAAGGAAGGCUGACCAGCUUACUGAGGAAAGGCAGCAAGCAUGAACGCUUGAUACACGCCAAAUGCUUGAUUAGAGUGUUUAAUCAAGGCCUUCUGCUACAGCGAUUCAUAGCCUUUUUGUUCUCAACCAAGAUUUGACUGAAUAUUUGUGGAUAAGUUUUUUAUCGCUUGAUCUCCUUGGUGACAAGGAAAAGCACUUCAACAAGCUUCCAUUUACCAACUGCAGGGUGAGGAGGAUUACCACUCCAUGAAUUCUUGAUGGCCGUUCUUGUCAUUUGGCAACCACUUUCUAGACGUUCCUGGUUUUGACAUACAAAUGAAUAAGCACGUCUCUCUUCAGAGUUUAGUUCUCUCCAUUAUUCUCUAACAUUCCUGAAUGUCCAUAAAUGCUCUGAUUGGCCUGCUCGUAAACUCAAAGUAUUUCAGUUCACUGCUCAGAAUGCGGAUGCUUGGCAGAGGCUGCACUGCAUUUAGACAUCAACACAGGUAUAUGAUUGGAGCUAGAAUCAUUAUGCAGUUAAGUAGCUAGAUCAUCUUAUUCUUACACCUCGAUUUACUGAAGAAAUCCCUUGAUGGGCACUGUCAUUCUAAAUGGUUGUUAUGGCCCUUGCAAUUAUUUUAUCUCAUUUGACCGGUCAAGGUUUGUUAUGACCCUGGUAAGUAGCAUUAAAAAAGACCAACCUGUUUAUUGACUAGAUACCAACCCAUGUAAAUUCAUUGUGAUUUUUAGAAUAAAAAAUAAUAUGGGUGGAGUGGACUUGAUGUAUGAAACACAAUUCCUUCGUAAAUCUUCUCAAUUUCAGAGCAUGGUUUUCUUGUGAGUAUUAGAUUAGAUAUAUUUAAAGAGUUAUUUUACCUUACAGUAUAUGUUUGGUAAGGUUCUCUUGUACUGAACCUCUUGACCUAUCUGACUCCUUAUGCUUUUGGCAUACUUUUUAGUGAGCUAACCCAACGCUUGUUCUGAUUGCAAAAGUCAUUGAGGACUUGGAACCAUGGAGGUGUUGUGGACGGGGUGCAAUGGGUCUGGGAACUUCCUUCCUCGGGGUUGUAAAAGGCUCAAUAUGUUUGUACUCAACAACAGAUCACAUUGUUUGCUCUCUUCAGUUGGAUCUCUCACCACCACUGCUGAGAUUCAUAUGGUGAUGGCAAACCAUGUGCCGUCCUCUUCUAUGCAUAUGAAAUAUUGCUUUUACUCUGAUA